CAUCUCACAGUGGUCAGUGAGGGUUGUUGCACUGCUGUUGAUCACUGUGUGAUCCAGUCCAGCAACACAAUCCCAGCGUGGGCACCACUUGCCUGAGUGUAGAGGCUGCCAGCAGUCGUACCUCAGGCUGCAUGCCACUUCUCUGCAUGUGCCUCCCUGUGGCUCAGUUUUCAUUUAAAGAUCCUGUCAUUAUGGACCACAGGAGUCCAGAGAGGUAGCCUGGCCAGUUACCUUGACAACCUCAUGAUGUCAUGCUGUAAACUUCUUCCUGGCUGCAGAUCUAAUGCGAUUCUCGAUACUGUCGGCUCCUCCCAGCCUGGAUGACAGCAGCUAAAGUGAGAGCUUACAGCUCACUUUUAAUGAUGCCCUUCGUGGCAUCUUUAGGGUAUAUUUGCAUUAGCAAUGGAAGGACAUGGACUCUCAUCUCCUAGCAGCAGGCAAGAGGAAGGAUAAGCAGGAAGACCCCACACGUGGUGACUCUCCAGUACGGACAUUGGAGCCAGCUUCAGUAAGCCCAAUGGACAGAGCUAGAGAAGGCGAAACUACAACCUCCUCCUGUAGGAUUUCUGUGAGCUGGUACCAAGGGGCCUUAUGCACUGUGGGGGAAGAAGCUACUUCGUGAGGAUUCUUUUAUCUGUUUAUAUGGGCAAAAACUUUUGAUACACCCUUAGAAACAUAACAGCUGCUGGCUGACAGUCUAGAUUUCUAGGGUCAGAGGCUCCCCAUCAUCUUUGAAAGCCAUGCUCAGUGUCAAAGCCAGAUAAUUUUUUGUUAAGAAGCACUCAGGCCCAGAGAGUAUCUUCUGGAAGGUAGAGGAACGUGAAGUGCAAAGGGGUUCAGAAAUCCCUUCCAACAUGUGGAUGCUGUUUUCUAAUACCAUGCCAACUCCAUGGCAGCAACUGCUCCCUAAUGCCCACUGCAGUUCUGGCCUUUUUAUUAUACCUUUGAAGUGGUGAUAUCUGGCUAGAAAUGGGAGUCUCACAAUCUAGAAGACAGGAAAAAUAUGAGAGAGAAUCAGAAGAGGAAGGCUCAGAUCUAGGCAUGAUGCCCACACUUGCAGCACACAUGGAGACAGGUGAUAGCAGUGUAGGCAAAAGCUAUGCCCUCCAGUGACCUCCUUACCCCCUUCUCUCUUUGGGUAACAUGCUGAUGUGCCUAUAGAUGAAUAUGGAUCCUUUUUUCCUUUUUCAUAUGAUUGAGGGUGUCGGCUUAAACUGUGGCCUCAGGACAGAGUUACAUGUUGGAAUAACAUUUAUCUCAGUACAUCAGAAGUUGUGAUCACUUUUCAAUUUCUGUGACAAUAAUUAAUAUAAGCAUAUUUUAUGUCACUUAGAGAUUGUCCUUAUAAUUGAGCGUUGUUGUAUGAUUUAAGUAACUGCUUUGAAUUUUCUUUUAUGAUCUCUUGUGCCAAGUAUGGUAAAGGCAAAUGAUACCAUAGCAUUUGAAAAGGAAAAUGACACGGAGAUUCAAAUUGGAAAGGGGGCAGGAGAAAGGAAUCAUUUUGGGGCCUACAGAAUAUAGGCAUGCUGAAAUCCAAAGAAUUUGUGCUGUGGCAGCCAGUACCAUAUUUUUGCUGGGAACAGAUGUAUUAUGCAGAUUCCAUUUUUUGCACAGACAAACUUGCAACCAUUCAUCAGCAAAAAGUGCAGCAGUAAAAAUGCAGUGCAGAAUUUUCUGUUGAUUCUAGCAGUAAGCGGAUUAGAUACCUACUGAGUUCAGGUUUCAAUAACCCUGCAGCAUGAAACUUAUCUUCAUGUGAACAAACAAGACAGUUGCAGAGUUAUCAAAGGAAAUCAUAUUAAAAUUUGCAUCCAAGAAUUGACAAAGUUUUGGAUUUUACGAGGCCUGAUGCUUCUGAACUAGCCAACAAAGAGAAAGCUAUCGUAUGUUUUUUGUGCAACUUAUUUAUAUCAAAAGGGUUUAUAUUUAGUUUUGUGUUUUUUUUUUUGGCAAAAUAAAAUAGUACAAAUAAGGUACACCAACACUAAAGGUCUGUUGACUUUAUUUUUCCUUCAAAACAAAUUGUGGAAGAUAGCUGUUAAGAUGCUUCCUAAUAAUUUCCACCUUCUGGUAUUUGCACCCUGGGUGCUUUGUUCCCACAAGGUAUAAAUGUCGGUCUGUGUGGCCAAUGCAAUGCUAAAGAAGUGGUCAUUUGAAAUGAAGUCAUAAAAUACAGUGUGACUCACUCUGUCUCCUUCUCUCUGUCACUCAAUCUGGAAAAGCCAGAUGCCAUGUCGUGAAAACCCUUUGGUGUUCUGUGAAGAAGCUCAUGUGAUGAGGAGCUGAGGGCUCCUGUUACAGCCAUGCGAGUGAGCCAUCCUGGAAGUGGAUCUGCCAGCCCCAGCCUUCUGACGACUGCAGCCUGCUGGCCACAGCUUCCCUGCAACGUCAUGAGAGGCUCUGAGCCAGAAUCUCCCAGUUAAGCCACUCCUGGUUUCCUGGCCCUCAGAGACUGUGAGAUAAAUGUUUGCUUUUUUAAGCAUCCUGUUUUGGAGUAGUUGUGUAGCAACAGGUUAUCUGAUGCAGGAGCCUAUACAUAACCAAUGACUGAGAAACACUAUCAAAUGUCACUUCCGGAAUGGAACCAGUGAGUCAAGUACUAGAUGUAUUCAUUACUUAGUCAUGGAUUUGGAUUUGAAUGUAUGCUGUAAAAAAGAAAAAAAAGCUAUUUAUUGGUCUUGCUUCUUAGCAUCAGUUAAUUAGUGACAUUCACUCCAUUUUGAUGUGUUGUUUAAAAUAUACAUAUCUAUAUAUAAAUAUACAGGAGCAGAUUCAACA